AGCCGUCCGGAAGGCCGGCAACAAAGGCGACCGUUAAGGCCAAAUUCAAGGCCCCGUGAUAUGUUCAACAGCGUGAUAGCUCUCGGAUCGACCGUUCAGAAAGGCGCACGAGCGAUGUUGUAAAACAGGCCCGAAUCGCGAAAAGAGAAGACAGAGCAGCUCUGCGUGACUUCCAAGAAGAAGAGGAAGGCCUAUUGUAUGGUCCAGGCAUAGCAGAUUGACGAUAAGCAGAACAGCCGCAAUCUUGGUCACCGUCAAGCACCUCUUUUAGUUGAUGUCUUCCUGUCGGCCACUAUAACUGCUAUUCUAUUAUAUAUUUUGACUUCAAAAAAUUUGUAAAGCUUAUUUAAAUGUUAAUAAAGAUUAUGCAAAAAUAA